rnacentral:rRNA from 1 species
CAGUCGCCGCGGUAAUACGUAGGGUGCAAGCGUUAAUCGGAAUUACUGGGCGUAAAGCGUGCGCAGGCGGUUUGUUAAGACAGAUGUGAAAUCCCCGGGCUCAACCUGGGAACUGCAUUUGUGACUGGCAAGCUAGAGUGUGGCAGAGGGGGGUGGAAUUCCGCGUGUAGCAGUGAAAUGCGUAGAUAUGCGGAGGAACACCGAUGGCGAAGGCAGCCCCCUGGGCCAACACUGACGCUCAUGCACGAAAGCGUGGGGAGCAAGCAGGAUUAGAUACCCCUGUAGUCCCUGUCUCUUAUAC